GUACCCAUAAUUGUGUGGUUGGCCCUCG
rnacentral:sRNA from 1 species